rnacentral:lncRNA from 1 species
UGUGAACACCACAGAUGAACUUUUUUCCAUUUUGCAGGAUGUUGUCACCAACACUGAAAUCUGUCAACUGACUAUCGCUUGGAGUCAGCUGAACUGCUUAUACCACAUACAGGGGAAAAGCAUAAAUGUGUGUUUGACUUCCAUGAAAUUAAUUAUAGAUGAGCUACUAAAGAGAGAGCAAGAAGAAAAGUGAGAGCUGAGAAAAUAACAAUUUAAAUCUUAUGAGCAAUUCUGCCUGCCAGUCUCUUCACUGCUCACAUGACCUACAAUAGUGUUGUCCAGGAGGAAGAAAAUGAAUCCCUGGAGUGUGUACUACACCCAUCUUUAUCAUCUCAAAUCUCAUCUCACAGACAGUGAACUCAUCUUUGUUGUCAGCAUCAGUCAUGAUGGUGAUCAACGUUAUUACUAUCAGAGCUGGGCAAGAAUACCCAGGAUGCAUGACUGGGGCACCUGAAGACAAAGAGUAUGAUGCACAUCAAGCUGGGGCAGUGAGACGGAAGGAGUCUGUACAGAUGAGAGAGUCUCAUCAUACUCAGUGUCAGAGGGCAGCCUGCUCUCCUUUUGACCGCUGGUGGCUCCACAGAGCCCCUGCUUUCCUCAAAUGCAAGUGUUCAGAUUCGUGCUAUCUUUUCAAGAUGAAUGAUAUCAGGAAGCUAUCAAGAUUAGAAAGAAAUUUCAAAGUAAUAUUUUUUCACCUUUAUCUCAUAUUUUUAUUUCAAUUUUACAAUAUUUUAUCAUGUGCAAAACAUACUAGAACACUGGUGUGCAUGGGUAUGUGAAAUAUAUAAAUAUGUGUAUAUAUAUGUGUGUGUGUUUAUAUAUACUUAUAUAUAUGAAAUGCUCACCCUUCAUGUUUUAGCUCUAAGAGUGAGUAAUCAAACAGUGUAAAGGUAGCUAAUGUAUUAUGGAAAUUACCCUUGAGGUCAGGUCACAUCAGCUUGAGUUAUACCCGCUAUCUAAAAUAUAGCAUAUGUGGGAAGGUGACUCAUGUUAUUAACAAGACCAGAGCUGGGAGGGGGUCUCUCCUCCUGAGCUCCAGAUGAGGACCCUAGAGGCUGAAGUGAGCCUUCAUGCCAG